GGCUGGCACGAGAGGCUCCGCACCAGCUGAGCUGUCAACCGCGAGGGAGCGGAGGCGGGGCUCCCUGCAGCCCAGGACCCGCCCAGGUGACAAGCCGCGGCGUGCCACACGCGCCCUCCCUCCGGCCUCCACUGCCUCCUUCCCGGGCUCCUCGGAGGAACGAUGCCCGCAGAGGUGGCCUUCAACGACCCUCAUCGUGCCCUCUGUCCCUCGCUCAUUCCGUUGAGGGGCUUUGGGUAGAACCACCCAGCUGCAGAGGGACCUUUGGAGAGACGGUCCUCCCGUGUGCCUGCGUCACCCACCCACAGGUAACCUCGGAGCCCGAGACGGAGUGCAAGAAGGAGUCCAGCCAACUGACUUCAGGUGCACCUACUAGAACUUUCGUCUUAGGGCACAGGGAGAUCCUCGGAGAGUUCCCACAGCAACUGGGCUCUGCCAGAAGCUCCAAGGAGGCCGAGGGCUCCCGAACACCCCACCACGUUUCAAACGCCUUAAGAGACUCAAGAGUGGCGCCCGGGAGGUGGACUCUCCACCGUGGCUGUUCUGAGAUGGCUCGGAGAACCUUUCCUUCCAAGGAGGGGGCUGCCCAGCCCCUGUGCAUCUACUUAGGUGUCCGUGUUUAAACAAGACAGACGUGCUGUAAUGAGAGGGCUUGCCUCCCGGAGCUCUCUUUUUAGCUCUGAAAUAAACCUUUUUCUUAAGUCA